GGAGCCGGAGGCCACCUUACUCUAAUCUCCAAGGCAUACCGAGGGUCCUCCAGCAAGCAUCACGUGUGCCCGGUGCCCUUCGUGUCUGGGAUGCUGGGAUGGUUGCACUCGGAAGCGGAGCUCUUUGGCGCAGGACGGUGGAGGUACCGCAGAAGCAGGCAGAUCUCCCUGAGUUCGAGGCCAAUCUGAUCUAGGCCAAUCCCGUCUGAAUUCCAGACCAGCUCGGAGUUCAUAGUGAGAACCCUGUCUCAAAAUUUGAAUUAAAUUUUAAAAAGACUCUGGCAGAGCGGAGACAAUCUUGAAAAAGAAGAACCAAGUGGGAAGUAAAUCAAAUAGACCAGCGAACCAAAAGGGGAUUCAGAAACGAGACCACACUUGCAGAGACAGUUUAUGUCAGAAGUGGCGCUGAAGAGCACCCGGAAGGACUAGUCGUAAUUUCAGGGUGCUGGGUCAACUGGAUUUUCACACUAGAAAAUGUUAAGAAGAAAGUCGCCUCACCCGCGUAACGUCAUCACACACAGAUGUGAAUUCAGGGUCAGCUGGGUGACAUCCACACCUGGGCAUGCGGAAGCACAACCAAAAUGCUGUGGAACUCUGUCUGGAGGCCAUGACCUUCUAAGAAACACCAAGAGCUCCUGAUGGCCAUGAAGUUUCCUCCAGUGAAGUGGAAUCAUGUGGAACAGCUGAAAAAUGAUCCCUUUAAAGGAUGAGAACCACUGCACUUUCCAUCACUGUAUGCUUACCCUCUUCCAAAUAGCAGCCUCUGUUCACCUGAGAAAGUAGAGUUGGAGUGGAUUAAAUCUCUGGCACAAUUAAAUCCAUUUAUUUCUCUUUCCCUCUCACUCCCUCUUCCCCUUCCUUCAUCCCUCCCUCCCUCUCUCCCUCUCCCUUCCUCCCUCUCUCCUUCCUUCCUUCCUUCCUUUCUUCCUUCUUUCCUCUUUUGACAGGGUCUCAUGUAGCUCAGGCUGGCCUCAAACUCAUUGUGUGGCUGAGGUUGACCUUAAAUUCCUAAUCCUCCUGUCUCUGCCUCCGUUAGGCUGGGAUUGCAGGAAUGAACCGCCAUACCUAGUUUAUGUGUUUCUGGGAACUGAAUCCAGGGCUUCUGCUCGAUAGUCAAGCAUCCACCCACUGAGGUGCAUCCACAGUCCCAGCCAUUUCUUGUUUAAUGCCUUAUAGUUGUCUUAAUUAUUUCUCUGGUCUCUGUGACCAAGGAUCUGACAGAAACAGCUUAAGGGAGAAGUGGUUUCUUCCGGUUCCUGGUUCCAGGCACACAGUCCGUCACAACGGGGAAGGUAUGUUGGCAGGACCUGGUCUUGUCCAUGUUGAGCAGAGUGUGAGGCUGCUCCCUCACACACCUUCAUAUCAGAAAGCAGAGGGAGCUCAGGCUAGAAGUGGAGCCAGCCAUGCCUCAUGUCCAGAAGGUUCCACAGUCUUCCAAACAGUGCCAGCAAAGCCUGUGGGAACAUUUUAUAUCCACACUAUAAUGAUGAUUAUGUUGUCAUCAAUGUAAAACUGGUUUCCUUUGGUAGUGUUUGAGGCUUUCAGUGUUUUUCUUUUCUUUUCUUUUUUGUCUUUUUUGGUUUUUUCGAGAUAGGGUUUCUCUGUGAAAGCUUGACUGUCCUGGAACUUGCUCUGUAAACCAGGCUGGCCUUGAACCCACAGAGAUCCACCUACCUCUGCCUCUGGAGUGCUGGGAUUAUAGGUGUGUGCCACCACUGCCUGGCUUUCGGUAUUUUUCUUUAGACAUGCUGUCUUUCCUCUUGUUAGAGGCUAGAAACAGCGUGCACAGCAGAUCUUAAACUGUCUGUAGACAUCUUGUUGAGUGAGGACAUGCUGAGCAUUGUUGGGGCUGCCAGGCUUGGGCCCAUUAGAAAGUAGUUUAGGUCUCACCUCAGAGGAUAUCAGAACCAGCUCCAAAUCUUGAGUCAGUUACCAGCUUACAAUCACAUGGUCGUUACACCAACAACGUUCAGUUCACCUGGUUUUCUAAGAGACCCUCAGAUGGGCUCAGCCAGAUGAAGUCUCUUCUCCACCCAGGACUGGGGCAACCCAGGCAUGGGCUUGGUCAAGAUCCCAGGGAGGAUGAGGUGUGGACUACUUUGACAUUCAAGGGUCCUACUGGCUGAAAUUGCUAAAGGUUAGCCAAAGUCAGCCAAGCUAAGGUUCGUCCUUGCUACAAAUAGUUGAAACUGUGGCACUAGCUUUACCACACAGUCACAGAGGCACAGAAAGUAACAUAGUUGUCUCUAUGGAUGACUUAUGCCUCUUGUUUCUACCGUGAGAACGUGGAGCCUCAUACUUCUCGGAUAGGAAUGUAUAGCAGUAGAACCACCUUGGAAAACACUGAGGUUAACAGUGUAUUUCCAGCAGCAGCGGGGUUGGGAGUGUUUCAUCUACAACGGGAAUCUGCAAGGCUCACUGCCAGAGGGCCAGACAGUAAGUGUCUGGGGUUGCACCCGACACCCGGGAGAUUGUGACUACAGCUGUGGUUGCUGGGUAGACAACAUGCAUGUGAACGAGUGUUUUUGUGGUCCAAUAAAACUUGGUCUAUAUUUGCA